rnacentral:rRNA from 1 species
UUCUAAUAGAAAUUAUUAUUAGUAAAAUCUGCUCAAUGAAUUUUUAAUAGCCGCAACCUAGUUGUGCUAAGGUAGCAUAAUCAUUUGUCUUCUUAUUAAAGACUAGAACGAAAGAUUUAACAUUUAAAUUUCUUUUAAAAUAAUUUUUAUAAAAAUUAUUUUAAAUAUAAUAAAAUAUUUAUAAAUUAAAAAGACGAUAAGACCCUAUUAAACUUUACUUAAGUUUUACUGGGGAAGUAAGUUAAUUAUAAUUUUAAUUUUUAAAUUUAAAAUUGACCUAAUAUAAUUAAGUAUAUGAUUAAGUUACUAUAGGGAUAACAGCGUAAUAAUUUUUUAAAGAUCUUAUUCAAAAAAUAUUUUGCGACCUCGAUGUUGAAUAAUUAUCCUUCAAAGAUGCAAUAAUCUUAUUAAGGAAGUCUGUUCGACUUUUAAUUUAUUACA